AAUGAUAUUCAAUUUAAGGUCACAAAGAGAAGAAUUGUUAUCAGUGAUGUGUAUUAUUCCAUAAAUAUUUUGGUGUUGAAAUUUGCCUUUAUCAGUAGAUAUAUCUCAAGCUGACACAACAGAUAAAAGAUCAGCUCUCCCCCAAUUAAAUCAAAUAUGCAUCAUAAACACUAAUCUCUUAUCAGUGAUGCAGCAAUGCCUAACAAAGGGGUGCAUAUCAUCUGCAUACUUUUGAUUGGUUGAUAGUUUUUGUUUUGAAAACAAGCCACUUUUGAUUGGUUUAGGACACAGGAAGUAAAUUUGUUUAAACAAGCAGGUGUCAGCAACUGAUAAUGAGCUACAUUUUUAGACAUGAUUUAGCAAAUUAAGAUUUUAAAUUGUACUUGUAGUGUCAAAUGUCUUGAAAUACUGUCAGCAUGAAGUAUUGUGUGAUGAAAACAAAGUGUAUUUACUACAAUGAAGUAAAUCAAAGGAGGUCCAAAGUGGCUGGAUACUGAAGAACAGUUGUAACAGGUAAAACUCUUGCCCCAAGGAAAGAAUGUGCAUUAUCACCUGCUAAAAAAGGAAGAAACAGGGGGAUACUGACUGAUGUAUGGACUUUAACACCAGGUUUUUACCCUUCAACAGUUGGCCAACUAGAGUGAAGCAGGAGAGUGGGCUGUGCUUGACUAAGAAAAGCUGGAUUUGUUGAGAGAUCAAUACGCAUUCAAGAUCCUUAAGAAGAGAAGGACACAAGCAACAUCAGUGGUAGAUGUCACUCCAGCCCCUGCUUUUCCGGUCUCGCCUGCUGCUUUCCAGGUCCCUCCAGCUGCCAAGAUCAGGUCUAGGCACUGGCUGCCAUCCAGGUCCCCCUGGCGGUUGCGGUCGUGUUCUCAAAUGGCUGCUGUACUGGACUACUGGUCCCACCACCAUAUUCGGUCAAGGUCUCUCCAAAUGCUGAAGUCCAGGUUCCCUCGGCCACUGCGGUUCAGGUACCUCCAACAGCUGUGACCUAGUUCUCUGCAGCAGCUGCGAUCUAAAUAUAUUGACCCACUGCGGAACACUGCGGUUAAUCGUUUUUUCCAUACAAUCUUCCACAAAUGCCUCAUUUUAUAAUGAAGUGUACAAUUCUUAUGUUCAUAUUUGUUUGUGUUAUAAAGAUGAUUUUCCUGCA